rnacentral:rRNA from 1 species
GACGAACGCUGGCGGCGUGCUUAACACAUGCAAGUCGAACGGAAAGGCCCUGCUUUUGUGGGGUGCUCGAGUGGCGAACGGGUGAGUAACACGUGAGUAACCUGCCCUUGACUUUGGGAUAACUUCAGGAAACUGGGGCUAAUACCGGAUAGGAGCUCCUGCUGCAUGGUGGGGGUUGGAAAGUUUCGGCGGUUGGGGAUGGACUCGCGGCUUAUCAGCUUGUUGGUGGGGUAGUGGCUUGCCAAGGCUUUGACGGGUAGCCGGCCUGAGAGGGUGACCGGCCACAUUGGGACCGAGAUACGGCCCAGACUCCUACGGGAGGCAGCAGUGGGGAAUAUUGCACAAUGGGCGGAAGCCUGAUGCAGCAACGCCGCGUGCGGGAUGACGGCCUUCGGGUUGUAAACCGCUUUCGCCUGUGACGAAGCGUGAGUGACGGUAAUGGGUAAAGAAGCACCGGCUAACUACGUG